GCUUUUCUUGCCAAACUCUGAUGACGAUUAUAAUUGUGUGAAUUAUUUUUAUAAUUAUAAAAAGGAAGUGAUUUCUCCACGCUGUGACGUCUCAAAGAUGUCAUAAUAACAUCUGUCCAGGGUAGUAACACAGACUGUCUGUUUUUUCCCCCCCUCGGUGACAUCACCAGAUACAUACUCACUCUUUACUCACUGCUUCUGAUUAGACCCGAUCGGCCGAAAUGUGUCCACUGGCACACGGCAAGAUGACGCAAGCCAGACAGAAGCAGUGGGUCACUGAUGACAACUGCUUACAUCACCACCAAGUUCUGAGAAAGAAGUCUGUGGGGCGCGUGGGUUUCUUUGGAGGUGACAGAAUCUUCACUCUGUUGCCAAACCAAAUCAUGUCAAAUGUCCAGGAAUCACCACAACAGAUGUAAACAGACCUAAACCACGCAGUCUGAGCAGGACGGUGUCUGGGUUGGGGUGCCCACAGGGUUCCAGGCUCCUGGUGGUUUGAGAUCAACAGAAGAACAUGAACACAACGAAAGAAAACCAGUGUGUUGUGUUCACCAUGCAGAACUGGGAGAGGGAGAAGACCAUAUUAAACUGGACCAAGCGUUGGGCGGAACAAAGUGCCUGCUUCAUUAACAAACAAUACUGUAGCAAACACGUGAACAGGCUUGCAUAAUAUGCAUAUUAUAUACUAUAACACACACAGGUGAAACUGUGUGAGUCCUGUGCCAUAGAAAACCCUAGAAGGCAAAGAACACACUUGGGCUCAUGUAAACCCAAUAUGCAACAUGUAUAUUAACAUUAAUGUGAUGUCAUAUGGCCUUGCUACCCUUACAACAAAAAUUCAAGAAGAUGUGGAUGUGAACAAAUCACAUGACAUUUUCACAUGAAUCAGACAUGUGGUUUUUGGGCCCGUGUGAAGUUUCGCAUGUACAUAUUCCCCACGUGAUUAUUUCUCACAUUCAUUUUUCAUUGUUUCCAGCUGCAUCUGUUCUCCAAUACAGGGACCGACCAGGACUGACCAGGACUGACCCUGCUUAGCUUUAGAGGCAAACCAGCCGUGGUGUCACGUUUGUUGAAAUGAGUGGACCAAGGCACAGCUUGCGUAGAGUUCCACAUUAUAUUUAAUAAUGAAAUUUACAACCAAAACAACAAAGAAAAUAACAAACGUGCAAUAAUACAGUGCUCAAGGCAACUAAACACAAAACAAGAUCCCACAAACAACAGGUGGGAAAAGGCUGCCUAAAUAUGAUCCAAGAUCAGAGACAACGAUAUACAGCUGCCUCUGAUUGGGAUCCAUACCAGGCCAACAUAGAAAACGAAAAACUAGAAUGCCCACCCUAAUCACACCCUGACAUAACCAACUAGAGAAAUAAAAAGGCUCUCUGAGGUCAGGGCGUGACAAGUGGGAUGCAGGAUGCUAUGUUGCUUGAAUGAACGCACCAAAACUUGUAACUGGAUAAAAGGCAGGGAAAGGGAAGGCCAGGGUAACAUAAUCAAGGAUAGGGAAAAUUGCAGGAAAGAGGGAGGUGUUUUAUUUAAUUACACUAUUUAUUUUUUUUGAUCACCGAAGUUCAUUUACAAUUCUUCUGCUCUCGCAUUUGAAUGUUAUUUCCUUGCAUUGUUUUGCUAUCUAUAAUUUUGUGUUUAUGUUUUGCUUUCAAUGUCAUUAUUUUUGUCAUUAUUUAAGUAACUCACUCACUAGAGGACUGCACAAUAUAAUACUAUUAAUGUAUUAAAGGUGUUUAAAGGCAGGCAAGGGUCAAAACCGGGAGGACUAGCAAAAGAGAAAUCAGAAAAAGCGGGUGCACGGAAAACGACGCUGGUUGACUUGACAAGACAAGACGAACUGGCAACAGACAAACAGGGAACACAGGAAUAAAUACCCAGGGACUAAUGGGGAAAUUGGGUGACACCUGGAGGUGGGUGGAGACAAUAACAAAGACAGGUGAAACAGAUUAGGGCGUGACACAUCCAUGAUAUUAAAAUUGUAGUUUUAACCAUGUUUUUAGGCUAUACAGUGUUUGUUUACAUUUACGUUGUUCACAACAUUGGAGUAAAUGUGGAGUUUUCUUAAAAAAUUCGAUUUUCACUUUCAGAUGUGGAAUUGCAAGUUCACAUGUGAAAAACAAUCACUUGUAAAAAUCUAAUAUGCAGUUUCAUACGUGAAAAAUGUUCACGCUAAAAUAUCACGUUCACAUUUGUGAACUUGCAAUUCCACAUAAAAGUGAUUUUCACAUGUGAAAUGCCUUUUCUUUACGCGACAUGUUUUUUGUAAGGGCAAUGAUAAAUCCUUACAUUUGAAUGCAUAGCAGGGGUUUAACAACUGUCAAAAUGCCUAAAAUACCUCUUGGAGAAAGUGAACAGUGAUAACUUUACAGGAGUCUUGCUUCAGGCAUUUUGCUGGGAUCACAUCUUUUUUCCAGAUGUUGCAGGGUGUAUGAAAAGAUCUGACCGAGUUCACUCAGUCCUGCUGAAUUAAUAAAUAUUGUUUCCAGAUGAGGAAGGAAUCUUUUCAUGUUGCUCUGGGGGAAAGGGUACACAAGAAUGUGCCUGCCUCAACCUCCCCAAACCAUUAGAGGUGCAUCCUCAUUUCAUUGGAUUAGGUUUUUUCUAAAUUCCCAUGAGCUUGAUUUUGUCUGAGGGUCGAAUACCUACAGUGGGGCAAAAAAGUAUUUAGUCAGCCACCAAUAUUGCAUGUUCUCCCACUUAAAAAGAUGAGAGAGGCCUGUAAUUUUCAUCAUAGGUACACUUCAACUAUGACAGACAAAAUGAGAAAAAAAAAUCCAGAAAAUCACAUUGUAGGAUUUUUAAUUAAUUUAUUUGCAAAUUAGUAUGGUCAGGGCGUGAGUUGGGGUGGGCAGUCUAUGUUCCUUUUUCUAUCAUUUGGGAUUUCUGUGUUUGGUCUGGUAUGGUUCUCAAUCAGAGGCAGCUGUCAAUCGUUGUCCCUGAUUGAGAACCAUACUUAUGUAGCCUGGUUUCACCUUUGCGAUGUGGGUGAUUGUUUUCUGUUGAGUGUUGGUAUCUGUGCUAGACAGAACUAUUUUGUUUGUUCAUUUGUUCGUUUGUUCGUUCACGUUCUUGUUUUUGUUCAGUGUUCAUUUACUUUAUUAAAAAGACAGACACUU
ensembl:lncRNA